rnacentral:lncRNA from 1 species
GCUGGCUAGUAACAGUCACUAAGGUUCAGGGCAGGGUACUGGGUGGAGGCAGGCUAGUAACAGUCACUAAGGUUCAGGGCAGGGUACUGGGUGGAGGCUGGCUAGUAACAGUCACUAAGGUUCAGGGCAGGGUACUGGGUGGAGGCCGGCUAGUAACAGUCACUAAGGUUCAGGGCAGGGUACUGGGUGGAGGCUAGUAACAGUCACUAAGGUUCAGGGCAGGGUACUGGGUGGAGGCUAGUAACAGUCACUAAGGUUCAGGGCAGGGUACUGGGUGGAGGCUGGCUAGUAACAGUGACUAAGGUUCAGGGCAGGGUACUGGGUGGAGGCAGGCUAGUAACAGUCACUAAGGUUCAGGGCAGGGUACUGGGUGGAGGCUGGCUAGUAACAGUGACUAAGGUUCAGGGCAGGGUACUGGGUGGAGGCAGGCUAGUAACAGU